rnacentral:rRNA from 1 species
UACGUAGGGUGCGAGCGUUGUCCGGAAUUACUGGGCGUAAAGAGCUCGUAGGCGGCUUGUCGCGUCGUCCGUGAAAACCUGCGGCUCAACUGCAGGCUGGCGGUCGAUACGGGCAGGCUGGAGUUCGGUAGGGGAGACUGGAAUUCCUGGUGUAGCGGUGAAAUGCGCAGAUAUCAGGAGGAACACCAGCGGCGAAGGCGGCAUCCUGGACUGGUCCUGACACUCGAGGAGCGAAAGCGUGGGGAGCGAUCCGG